UCCGAUAUGGUCUAGUGGCUAGGAUUUGCCGCUCUCAUCCAACUUCACAGCUUGGAAAGCGCCGGCAAGGCCCGGGUUCAAUUCCCGGUGUCGGAA